CCGCGGCAUGUGGGAUCCUCCCGGACCAGGGCACAAACCUGUGUCCCCUGCAUCGGUAGGCGGACUCUCAACCACUGCGCCACCAGGGAAGCCCAAUCCCUCCUUUUUUUAACGCUUAAUUUAACGAACACUUUGAAUGUUGACUUUGGCCCAGAUGCUGGGGAUGUAAAAAUGAAAAUAAAUAAAUAAAUAAAAGAAACUUGCCCCAGUAUGAUCUGACAUUACGAGUGGGAAUGACUCCUGCUUCUAACACUCCUUCCGUAGGGGCUGUGAGAACCCUCCUUACUCUGUGUCCUGUGGGGAUCAAGGUAGGACCCACCUCCCACGGGUCCUUUAGGGAGGAUUAACUACCUCUGUGCAUCUCUAGCCCCGAGGGCAAUGCCUGGGACAGGAUAGGGCCCCGUGAGGUCUCCGGAGUCUAAGCCCAGACACCCUGCCUUCCACGAGGGUCCUCACUGCCACCCCAGUCCCACACGAGUGCCUUUUCCUCCCAAUCCCGCUGUAUUCCUCUACACAUGCCGUGGCACAGUUGUAAUCAUUCUGUCCCGAAAAGCUUUCUUCCUAAAGCCAGGUGCAGGGACUCUCUCACCGUCCCCAACCUGCCCGUUUAUUUUAUAGACAUUUCUCUAUUUCAUGAACUAUUUAAUGUGGUUCUUCUGUUCAUCCCUAACUUCUUUUUAAAAGGAUUACAAUUUGCCUCUUGCAGAGACAACGGCCCAAACUCCAACUUGUUAAUACUUUCAAACACCCUGUGAAAAUGCAGGGAUCAGGGUUUCAUGGCAGCGGCCAACGUAUGUUAAUUUGGCUUCCAGGCAUAGCGACCAUAACACAGUUUGAGAAGGUGGCCCUCAGCUCAUGUUCCUUUUCUAGAAGUCUAUUUUGCUCUGGGGAGCACAGCCAGGCGUGCUCAGCUUUUCACAUGGUGACCUGGUGUUUCAGACGACCCGGACUCAAGGCUGGCAGUUCUUCAAGACGAGUCUAGGUCUUCAUACUCUUAUAAGAAUGCUAAAUUCAUUAGUCUGUACCAUCACUGAAUGCAACAAGUGCGUGGCAAGCUUGUCUCCCCUGUAACCUGUUUUAUCCGACUAGAAACUUCUGAACAAAAUCAAGAGGACUGUAAAAUUCCAGCUACUACUGCACAGCACUCCCAACCCUGGGGGACACUCAGGGGACAGGGUCUGUCCUCAUGUCUUCAGGCCACCCUGCCAGGGCUGGCCAAGCCCCUUAAGGACCAGCCUUCGCCCCGAUUCCUGCACGCUGUUGUCACGGCUGCAUCUGCCACACAGCAUUCCGGCAGAGGACCAGCCUCCUGUAUGUCACAGGAGGUCGUGGAGAGGACGUGACCACUGGUUGACCAUCGAGCUGGACCCGGGCAAUGGGAGGCUCCUCGCUCCCUCCCGUCCUUGGGAUGUACGUCUGCCCACAGUUCCUGCACUAGGAGCCUCUUCAAGGACUUCUCAACUUGACUUUGCAACUAUAAUUACAACAACUUACCAGGCAUUUUGAGCUGUGUUAAUCUGGCAGAUGACUUGACAUUACUUCUUUUGCUUUAUUGUGAAAUACAAUGCACAGGUCAUAAGGUUAAUUGAACAGUUGAUCAUAAAGCAUGCACCGUGGGACCCAGGUCAAGACAGCAAGUCUGCCGUGCACAGGAAGCUGCCUCUGCUCCAUGUGACUCCCCCUGGUCACAGCCCCUUCCUCUUGUCUCCCCACAGGUAACAACUCUUCUAACUUUGCGAAAAUUUCCUUGCUUUUCUCUGUGGUUUUACCCUUCUGCUAUAAUCCUAAGCAGUACAGUUUGCUUCAGGCUGAUUUUGAGAUUUCCAUUAAUGAACUAAUGUUGAAACGUCGUCUUCUGAAUCUGGCUUCUCUUGCUCAACUUACAUUUUGUAGCUUCAUCCAUGCUGUGAAUGCAGCAACAAUGUGUCCAUGUUCGUUACUAUAUAGUAUUCCAUUGGAUGGAUAUAUCACGAUUUAUGUCCCCAUUCUGCUGUCGCUGAGUUUUGGGGCUCACCAAGAAAGGUACCUCUAGCAUUCCUAUAGAUGUCAGGAUGUACAAUGUGAAUGCACUUCUCUAGGAGAAGGUUGCUGGGUCAACAUUCUUAAAUAACUGAACUUCAAUAAUGAUCACCAAACUAUUUUGCACAGUAGUUUUCCCAGUUUGUAAUCCCCCCAGGGGUGAGAGAAGCCCAGUGGGUCUACGUUCUUGGCAACACUUUGAAUUGCAGAAUUUUCAAAGUUUUUGGCAAUGUGAGUGGGAGAGAUCUCAUUAUGUUUCAAGCUUGUAAGUUUGUAUUUAACACCUUUUUUGCAUGUAUAAGCCAUUUCGAUUUCCUCUUUUACAGUGUUUGUUCAAAUUGUUUGCUUGGGUUUUUUAAUGUGCUUUUAAUGCGCUUUGUAAAAGUUAUACACAAACACGAUAACCGUCUGUCCAUUGUGUGCCUUUCAGUUCUCUUUCGGUUGUGUGGUUUGUCUUUUUAACUGUCUUAAUGUUGUCUUGGUAAUAAAGAGAAAUGAUUAUUUUUAAAGUA